UUAAGUAAUUGCCUUGUGCGAGGA
rnacentral:siRNA from 1 species